UGCAAGUGUUGCCCCCCUCCUCCCCAAGGGCAAGGUGAAGGAAGGUGCCUGUGUGGUUCUUCUGCAGUUCGCAACGAGGAUUGUUGUGUCCAACCUGCACAAGAAUGCCAAGAAGUCCUUCUCGGAGACGAUUAAGGACAUGUACCUGCACUACAACGAGAGAUCUGGGCUGCUUCUUUGUGGCUUCCAAACUUGAAAUGUUUGUUUGGAAGUUAGUUUAGUUUUUUGUUGUGGAUUCACAGCUUCUCACAUGUACCAUCCUCUUAGACCUUUAGAUUUCCAAAGAAACUAAAUGAAGAUAUGGUGGUAUGGUCUCAA